AGCCGCCUCAACAUUAAUUGAGAGGAAAACUUCAAAAAUAGAGAAUAAAGGAUAUACAGGUCAAUCAUUUCACUUUUUAUAGGAUUGUCAACAACAAUAACUUCAAUGGAAGCAUUCCUUCAACACUGAACCUAGUGCCGACAUUAGCAGCUUUGUAAGUUUAUCUAAAGAGAAAUUAACAAAUGCAAUUCAUUGAGAUUUACUACUUGAAACAUUCUAACAGGCGUCUUGACCGAAAUAAAUUAACCAGGCCAGUACCUCCCACCCUUAACAGCCUUGCUAGCAUCAAGGAAUUGUGAGAAGGAAUAUUUUUGUUGAAAGCUUUAUAAUGUUUCAUGUAAAUAGUAUAUGAUCAGUGAUCAUUGUUUCCAUUUAAUGUAUUUAUCGAAUAAUAAGUUAACUGGUCCCUUGCCAAACUUAACUGGAAUGAAUGCACUCUCUUAUCUGUAAGUGCUAGAUUUUCAGUGAUUUCUGAAUCACUUUGCUGAUUUUUUUUUUAAUAAUCGGUUUUUUUGC